rnacentral:lncRNA from 1 species
CAAAGUGCUGGGAUUACAGGAGGCAAGGUUGUCUGGUGAGAGUACAUGGGAAAGGAGAUGGAAGGUUGGAGGUGAGAGCAAAGAAGGUUUGCUGCAGAAGUUGUGGAGAGAGGGAAGACAAGACAAGGAGAGAAAUAUGACGGCUGCCAAGGAGGAUUAGCACCCAGGUGGAGCAGUUUCGACAUGACAGCUCGCCAGUUUCACAAUGCAUACCUUCCUUAUCAGAGACCGUUGAUGAUGGAGAUGCUCUGGCCAGUCUAUAGAGAAUGCACAGAGGAUUUUCGGUCCUCUGCUUCACCUUCUGAUGUCAGAAGGCUGAAAACUCCACACUCAGAUUAUGCUAAUGCUGCCAUUUGUGUACAUGUGACCCAUGAAGAGGUAUGAAGCUCAAGUGCACAUGCAUGCUUCUCCUUUCAUAAACAUUAAUGAUUCCUCCUAUUACUUAUUAAAUAUGUAUA